UGAUUGGACCUGAAUAAUGGCAUCACUGGUAGUGAUGGGUAAGCAAAUGUGUUUAGUGCAACCUCUUGCCUUGGUUUUGGCUAAGGAAGGACAGGGUUGAUUUUUUGCAGUAGCUGCAAAGGGGUGGUGCCUGGAGCUGUGUGGGAGUGGCCAAGACCAUAAUAUUAUUCCAUACCAUCUCAUGUCCUUUGCCAGGGGUAGGGACUCUCUCUCUUGCUUCCAAGAAGAAGAGCGUUCCUUUUUUGGUGGAGAAAGUGUGGUGGGCAGAGGGAAGCUGCCCACUAUUAUUUCCUUGUCCUGGGCUUGGUCAGCAUUUUGCAUGUAAAUCACCCUCUCCUUGUACACUUUUGUUAUUAGUUUUGUUGUUGUUACUGUUCAUUUUUCUUAUCUCAUUGCUGUUUCCAGUAAUUGUUCUUAUCUCAACCUGUGAUCUCUGCCUUUUGUGCCUCCCAUUUAGGAGGGGAGGGAAGUGAUUCCUUGUCUUUUUAGUGGGAGUACUAAAUUGGGGAAUACUGUUCCUAAACUAUGAUGCCUCUAAUAAUGUUUUCAUGAGAAAAAUAAUCUGCAGCAUUCAUUAGAUAUAAAAUUGAUAUCCCACUUCUUAUAAUGUAGUAUUCUUACGGUAUCUUUAUUUGGCAAAGAAUUGAGAAUAGUUAUAUGAGAAGUUAGUGAAGAAAAUAUCUGGUUUCUAAAAGAAGGGAAAUAUAUUUCAAUUGUUGGGCUAGAAUUGGAUGAAGAAGUACAUUAUGCUUCCUCCAACCUCUAAAAUGACCUAUUUAGCCUGUACAAGAUGUUACUUUUUUGGGAUAGCCAGGACUCUGUGAAACUCAGAGGCAAAGGGAUGGAGCCAGGAAGAUCUCUUGGCUGACGUUCUGAUAGAUAAUUUUGCAUGUGCUGCAGAAAUAUGAUCAGGAAAAGUUGAGAUAAAAAUGGUAGUUUUUCUAUCAUAUUUUCUUUGUAAAUUUGACAGCUAAUAGUCAAAUGUUUUUUGAAAAUGGCUACUCCUUUGUGGAAGUUCAAUUUUUGGAAUACUUAUGUUGUCCAUACCUAUUUGAGCUGUAGGGGAACUUUGCUAUGUAAUGGCCUUAUUUUGCAAGAGUCAUGGAUGUCAAAACAGGGAUACAUAACAUUUUUCUAAAAUCAGGCCUCUCUAAUGUACACAGAGGAGGUAAUUAGUGGUUUGUAAGAAAUGUAGGGUUUGGGUUUUUUUUAUAAUAAAUCAAGGGGCGGUUGCCUGAAAAGAAUAGGAUAAAUAACUGGGGAUUAGAUAACCCUGUGAGCAAAUUUUAAUUCAACUUUUUAAACUACUAGGGUAUAUUAUUUAACACUUCCGAAUGUGACUUGCAAAUGUUUUAUCAUUCACUGAAAAAAUGUUGCGCAAGGAUGAACAUGGGUUUUCAUAGUGUUAAAUACAUAUAUGUAAGUGUGUAUAUGUAUGUAUAUACACUUUAUAUGGGUGCUUUUAUUGAGCUUAUAUUAGGGAACAGAGCCUCCAGUAAGACUUAGGUGUUCACAGCAGUAGAAUUUUCUACAACCAUUUAGGACUAAACUGAAGUGUGUGAAAUUUUGCAUAGCUGCAAAAAUAUAUACAUAAAUUUACCUUAACAGGGCUGGGUCUUUGUAGUACAAAACACUUAGAAAGUAUUCAUGAGCAAAUGCUCUGCAAAUGAAGUUCUAUGAAUUCAGUUAAGUGCAUAUCUAAAUUAUUUUAGAUCAUUAUAUGCUUACUUAUGUGUGAGCCUGCUGGAUUUCUGUAUGAAGUCUCUGUAGCACUGAGAUUUUUUUAUUACUGUUUCUUUUGUUAUUGCUACUUCCUGGACCUUAUAUUUUAUUUUGAAAAGUCAUGAUAUAGCUUUAUCUCUUCUUCAUUAUUUAUUUCAUUAAAUAUAGCAAGCCUGCUCCUUUUAAAUGAUAUUGUCUCUUCUGCAUUUGGAUAACAAGGUCAUUGUGAUACCGUAUGGGAAAACAGGCUUUUGAGCUAACCAGUCAUAUCUACAUUGUGCUGUGUAUUUUACCUGGAUUAAUAAAUUGUUCAUUAUGUCUGUAUUGCAAGGGUUGCUCCUAUUAUGCAACAGCUUCUCUUUGGAAUUUCCCAGAUAGAAACACAUGCUACUGAUCAUAAAUGCCUGGGAGAUGCAUUAAAAUAAGGUAACAAGGACUACACACAUGUGCCCAUUUUGUCUGGAUACCUACUAAUUGCAAACAGUUGGUUUUAUUUCUUUCUACCAGAAAAAAUUUCUGAUAGAAAAGUUGGACAGCUGGAGUCCCUCUGAAGGGACUCAGAGGAACUAAGGCUAAGUUAAUAUGCAUCAUGCUUAGCUCAAGUGUGUAAUUGGCUACUUGCAGAAUGGCACAAGGUAAAAAAUUUUUACUCUAAAUCUGAGAAGAAAGUCAUAGUUUUAGAGAAGAGAACAGUGAAUAAUGAUUGCUGCAUACCGUGACCUUUAAUUAUAAUACUGCAUUCUAAUGUGCAUGCCAUUAUAGUUACAGUUGUUCACAACAAGGCAGAGCUUUCAUGUAGUGUAAAAGGAAAAUCUUUCUAUCCUUCCUUUAAUGCUGGACUUUUGAAGUGUUUCUUCUGCCUGAUGUAAAGAACAGUAUUACUGUCAUGGGCCGCUGCCAGGGGCUGUUUGCUUCCAACAAUUGCGGCUUCAAACCAGCGUUGUAACAGAUGUAUCUACACUGUGGCAGGUUAGCCUGGCACACUGUCUGCUUUUAAGACAGGUUCUAAGAAGGUAUUUAAAGGCUGUAACCUUGCAUGGGAUCUGAAACCCAGAGCAUAUGUGAGGUCCUGGGUGAAGAGUCAUUUGAAGUUCCUCCAUGAUACUCUAGUUAAAACUUUAGUCAUCUUCAGUGGUUAGUGCAGCUGUAGAAUCUUGUAAUAUCUGCUCUACUGGAGAUCAUUGUUACUAAAGGAAACCAGGCCCAACUGUCCCAGCAGCCUUACCUAAAUAUACAAAUAUACAGGUAAGCCUGUUGUCAUGUGCUGGUGCAUCAUCAACCUGGUUUCCAAAAGUGUACAUGAAUUUAGCCACAGAUGGACAUCAUCUCUGAGGAGUAAGGUAGAGUUUCUAUGUGUUUCUUUCUCACUCUCUCUAAAAGAUAUGAUUGUGUCUUAGUAAAAAGUGGAAGAUCAUUCCUUAUAUCCAGUGAAGAUCAUCACAUCUGAAGUGUUUCUGAGACAUGCGGAGUCGCUAUCUGUCUAGCCUGUAUUUCUGUCUGCAGGUUUCCUUGGGGAAGUGGUGAUGGUCAGAAUAUAAGGGAGCAUUUGGCUUUUUCUAAAACAAGUGGAGUCCUCAGGAGUUACAGUGGGCUUUGAUGGAGACAGUAGCUUACUGAGCAACUUAGGAAGUAAUUUAUUUAAAUGUUUUCUUAAUGAAAUGUGAAACAAGUGUGCACCUACUUGAAGCAAGAGUUAAAAUGCAGGCUUUGGGAAUUUGGCAUGUUGAAGAACAGUGUUGGAGGUGUUGGUUUGUUUAUUUAUUUAUUUAUUUAUUUGUUUUCCUUUUUUUUUUAUAAUUCAAACAUUUUUUCUUUCAUCGUCAUUGAUUAUUUAUAGUCAAGUGGAAUAGAUAGGUUUCAUCUGAAUGGGAGCAUUGUCACAUGGUGCUUAUAUGAUCUAGCUAGCUCUAAGCAGGAAGGAAGGUGGAAAGAGUAAGAUAGAAGGAUCUUGUCCUUUUGAGGAUGCCAUUAAAUGCUGCAUGUUGGCUUUUUUGUACAAAUAACCUUUUGCCCAUCUAGUUUAUUUUGCUAAAUGCCCAAGUUUAAAUAAUGAAUCUGAAUUGAAAGUUAAACCUUUCAGAAAGGAGCUUUUGACUCCAACUCAUCCUCUCCUGAGAACUUUUCACCAUCUCCCUUGCUUGAAGUUGGAUCUCACUACCUAGAUAUGGCAUAAGAGGAAAUUACAUUUUUUGGGUUUGUUUUGGUUUCGGUUGGUUGUUAUAUUUUAUUUCAUUUUCAUGGUCAUAUAGAAAUUGAUUGUUAAAGCAAUGCUAUAUUUUACUUACUGCUGUUUUGUUAAUGCAAAUAUCUUAAAAAAAUCUACAGUCCAGGGAUUUGACAGCUUUAUUUUAUGACUUAAUUGUUAGGAAUAGGAAAAGGCUUAGCAUGAAAUACUAUUUGCCAUUGUAAUGAAUAACUUAUGAGCAGGGACACAAAUUCUGGUACAGGUAUAGGCAGGACAUGUUACAACAAGGAACAAGAUUUUGACCAAACAACAACAGGGGGGGUGGAGCAGAAUGCAAAGUCAGCAUUAUACACAUUCUGUGGAGCAACAAGAUACCAGCACAGACUGAGUCUGCAGCUAAGGGUCCAGUCUGCUCUCAGCAUUACAGCCAUAGCACUGAGGAGAGAAUGGUGACAUCUUCCAGCCGUGACUUAAUUGUUGUUACCUGAUGGAUCUAUCAUUGCUGCUCUACACUAAAACUUUGGAAACGAUUUGUACCGAGGAUUAAAAGUAAAAAUUAUAGAAGAAUUAAAGUGAGGGUGAAAUCCAACUGUCACCAUCAUGUGUAGGAGAUAGAAAGCUACAACAUCUUUAAGCUUGUAUCUCACAUCCUUGGUGUGUGAAGACAGGCUCAAAUGUUGUGUUGAAGUAUGCAUCUUGUCCACUAUACUCAGGUUUGUGCAGAGGUAACAGCCAUGACACUGUUUUUCAUAACUUCUUGGGUGAUAGAUAUACCACAAUAAAAGGAGACAGGCCUAUUCUCUUCUCCUACACAUGGAGAACAUUAAUAAAGGGAGAACAAAAAGUGGGUGAAAGCAGUUUUGUGACCUAAUUUUUUUCUACCCACUUACCUACAAACUAGGCUAUUUUCUGUUUCCCUAUGAAACCCUACUUCAUACAUAGGAUUUUUAUAAGUUGCUCCUAUUGUAAAGACUGAGUCCUUUAGCUUUACCACUUUAUCAGACACCUUGAUUUUACUCUUUCCUACUUUUAGAAAAUGAGAAAGCUGAGAAAAUCACAAUUUUCUGUUUCCAAAAUUCAGUUUAUUUGUUGUUUGGAGAAAGCAGUGUGGUUCUAUGAAGAAAAAAAGUCUUUCUUGUUUUUUGAUGCUUUUGUAAGGUAGUUGCUAUAGGCCACUGAGAAGCUUUUUGGUACCAAAACCAAAAUUGAUGUUAGUUUAAGGGUUUAAUAAGCACUGUUUAAGUGUAAGCACUAUGGUUUUAUAGAGCACUGUGUUUUCCAGACGUGAAUCUUCUGAUAAAUGGCUAAAUAGAACAUUAUUUUGAAGAGAGACAACUACAGAUGCAUGAAAAAAAUCAGUACUGUGUUUGCCAGGAAAUAUGGAUGCUGUAGCAUUCUCUAACAGUGACAUUCAUCGAAGUCCUUUGUCUAUUAUAACAGUUUUAUGUCUAAUUCUUCCCAUUGGAAGUACAUUUAGUAGCAGGUUUUCAUGUUCAAUGAAAGCUCUUGAAAGUGAAAUUGGUUUACUGCAGGAUAUCCAUUCCAAUGAUGUAACUCCAGAUCAAUUAAACUGAAGUUGAUGGUGCUACUCUAGAUUUACAUAUCUGUAAUGGAGAAUACAGUCUGGCUCAACAUGUGUAUGAGAUCCCAGUUAAUGUAGUGAAAGAGAAUAAGUUUUAAUUUGACCUUUUAUAAAUGUUCUCAGAAGUUUUUUUUAAAGGAAAAAGUGCAAGGUGAUCAAAUAUCAGACAGUGGUGCUGUUGAUUCCAGAUUGCAUAUGUGUUACUUAUAGAUCCAGCUGUCUAUCCUCAUUUACACUCACGUUUGGAGUCUUUGGUCCCUCAUAUUGAAAAAGAAGCAUUUGUACAUGGAGGGGAUGCAGGACUUUGUCCAACCUGGUUUUAGUGGCUGGACAUCUGUUCGGACAAGAGACAAAGCUAUCAAGGACCUCUGAAGUCAGUGAGGUAAGGUAUGAAAUUACUACUUCCCUCCCCAUUUACAGCUAAGAACGUUUUAUAAUUCAUCAGCCUGGGAACCUAUGUCUGUACCACUCAGGCAAAUUCCUGCUCGCUUCAACCUAGAUUUGUUCCUGACACGCAACUUCAAGGCUGAGCCUUGUUGCAGUCCCUAAAUCAAGCUUUUGUGUUUUGUUUAGUUGUGCCUUUUUUUUUUUCUCAUUAGGAAGGAAAUUAAAUUUGUGUUGAAGUCCUACCAUGUCAAAUGAUUUGCUGCAGCUUUUUCUUCUCCUUCUGUUAUCAAAUACACAACUCCUCUUUGAACUAGAAAAAGAAGAGGAGAAGAAAUCUUGCUCUUGGAAGAUUAAAUACUAUUUGAUGAUGCAGAGGUUGAAGAGCUUAUCCUUAAAACUAAUCUGUGAUAAAUAGCUUGAUAAUUGGCCACUUUCUACACACAUUACACUCCUACAAGACUACGUUGUUAUUCAAGAAGUUGAUAAUCAUGAAUGUUACUCCUAAUUGUUUCUUUCUGGUAUUGAAUUCUUUUCUAUAUGCCAAGUCAACUUCAGCAGAAAGGGAGGAAAGAAGUCCAGGAUUUUUUUUUCUUUAAUGAGUUUUAUAACAACAUAUUGAUGAGGUUUUAAAAUAAAUAUAAUUUUUAUUAAUGGUCUUACA